rnacentral:rRNA from 1 species
UACGUAGGGUGCGAGCGUUGUCCGGAAUUAUUGGGCGUAAAGGGCUCGUAGGCGGUUUGUCGCGUCGGGCGUGAAAACCAUGGGCUUAACUCAUGGCUUGCUUCCGAUACGGGCAGACUAGAGGUAUGCAGGGGAGAACGGAAUUCCUGGUGUAGCGGUGAAAUGCGCAGAUAUCAGGAGGAACACCGGUGGCGAAGGCGGUUCUCUGGGCAUUACCUGACGCUGAGGAGCGAAAGUGUGGGGAGCGAACAGG